ACACAUGCAAGUCGAACGAUGAACCUCCUCCGGGAGGGGAAGAGUGGCGAACGGGUGAGUAACACGUGGGCAAUCUGCCCUGCACUCUGGGAUAACUCCGGGAAACCGGAGCUAAUACCGGAUACGACUCUCCAGGGCAUCCUGGGGGGUGGAAAGCUCCGGCGGUGCAGGAUGAGCCCGCGGCCUAUCAGCUGGUUGGUGGGGUGACGGCCUACCAAGGCGACGACGGGUAGCCGGCCUGAGAGGGCGACCGGCCACACUGGGACUGAGACACGGCCCAGACUCCUACGGGAGGCAGCAGUGGGGAAUAUUGCACAAUGGGCGCAAGCCUGAUGCAGCGACGCCGCGUGAGGGAUGACGGCCUUCGGGUUGUAAACCUCUUUCAGCAGGGAAGAAGCGUGAGUGACGGUACCUGCAGAAGAAGCACCGGCUAACUACGUGCCAGCAGCCG
rnacentral:rRNA from 1 species